rnacentral:lncRNA from 1 species
CUAAUCAGGUUAUUGGAUUGAACAACCUUGUAGUGAAAAACUUCUUGUUUCAGAGCUAUUAGGAGAAACCAGGAUAUUGGUCUGACAAGACAACGUAUACCGAGUGUCAACCCAAUAUCGUCAUCAAAGAUGGUUGGCUGGCAGUAAGCUAUUUUAGAUCUCCAUGAAAAGAAGGUAUUUUGGUAUGUAAGCUGAGACUGACGAGCUAAAUCGAACCAAAGGCUGUGGGUCUCAAAAACACAAACUACAACACAACAUUCUUUUAAAAGUAUUGUGACCAGAAUACAAAAGAGAACUCGAAUAACUUGAUGGCAAGGUAAAAAAUGUAGCCGUAGGCUUCAAAUCAAACCGCGGAAGGACAUUAGACCUAUAAAUAUAAAAAGGUUCCUACUAGCCUAGUUGCAUGAGGUGUCUAACUGUCUAUGUCACCAAAUUAGAGCUUUAAAUGGGUCUGGAUAAAAUACAAUCGUAUUCUGACCGCCUUUCGGCGAGAUGGGUGCAAGUAUACUUUAAAACAUAGCGGAAUGUACAAUCCGCCACACACAAAAAAAUGCAUUCAUUUCAUUUGCGAUUUUUGUGUUGAACAGUGUGGGACCCUGGGACGCAACAACUCAAAUUAAGCUAUAGUGUUAGCAAUUCUUUUAUUUUAAAUGAAUUCUUCCUCGUGCUCGUUUGCUCGGGGUAAUAAUAGUAAAACUCGUGUUGAGCAGGACCAUUUAUUAAAAACCAUGUACUGGUAAUGUCCAGUUUUAUCGUUGUGUCGAAUGAUUCUAAUAUCAGUAUUUUUUUCGAGGAAAGUGAAAAAAUGGAUUGAAUAGAAAUAGAUGUCUGGAUUAAUCAAGAAAAUAACGUUUGUUUAACGGUCACGCCUAUUUCCCCCCGGCAGCCGGGGGGCGCUAACGUCAAAUUUGUCUAUUUCCCCCCGGCAGCCGGGGGGCGCUAACAUCAAAAUAUGCUAUUGACCACCGGCCGGCUAAUAUGGCAAAUCAUGCACUCAGAAAUGCACCGAUGAAUACAAAUUACAAAAAAAACGUGCAUAAUUUUAGGCUCGCUGAAUUGAGAAGCGGCUUCCGUUUGAGAAUACCUGGUAGAAUAAAAAUAGAUAUAAAUUAGGUACCAUCAUCAUCCUGUGUUCCACAAACCUUAGGAUUGUUCCUAGGAUGCCACUCGUUUUACUUAUUUACUGGCAUUGGCAGAUCACACGGAAUAGGUCCACUACUACGAAAUCAUUUGCUUUCCGACAAUUGGGUGCUUGCAAACGACUACGGUAUCCAUCAACGGAAGGCGGAUUUCUAGGUAGGGGGGAAUCGCCGGUGCUGCUUGUUUGUAGUAACCCCACAUCCCUCAGGAGAAUUACGGGAAGGAUUCAUGAUUCAUCGGUAGGGCAGAGGAAGAUGUAACAAAUGACCUUCGUGCACCCAAAAUGAUUAUUUUUAAGUAAACACUUGAUGCUUGUUGAAAAAGCUAAAACAAUCGAUAAAGAUUUCUUUUGUUGGGUUUCUAUUUUUCAGGUUUACUCAGCAUGUGAUAAAAGAAACAAACGCUUGUCACGUAUCAAUGGGUGGAACCACGCACUUGCCGGGAUGAUUUGCCUUCGUUUGCCAAAUUGCCAUCGGGUGCAGAACACAGAAAAUGUCCGCCAUGCAAUCCAGGGAUGCAGAUGUAUUAUACAACUGGUACCUGCCCUUUCUGUCCCUCCGGAAGCAUUUCGGACGGAGUACGGCCCUGUCGAUCAUGUCCACCAUAUACAGCACCCAAUACAGGAUUCCAAUUUAUCUGGUGGAGUGCUCUUCCUGGAGUUAUGUCUUCACGCUGCAUGAGUCUAGAAGGUUAAUUCUUUUUUUUCGGAUUCGCAACAAGGAUUUUUCUGUAUUGCUUUCUUUACCUACGUUGCCUUUUGUUUCCAAAUCCCUUAAGCAGUUCAUUUCUAAAAAAUGUAAUAAAAUAUAUGAAACUGAA